AACGAACGCUGGCGGCAGGCCUAACACAUGCAAGUCGAGCGAACCCUUCGGGGUUAGCGGCGGACGGGUUAGUAACGCGUGGGAAUAUGCACAAAGGUACGGAAUAGCCUCGGGAAACUGAGAGUAAUACCGUAUGUGCCCUUCGGGGGAGAGAUUUAUCGCCUUUGGAUUAGCCGGCGUUGGAUUAGGUAGUUGGUGGGGUAAUGGUCUACCAAGCCGACGAUCCAUAGCUGGUUGGAGAGGAUGAUAAGCAACACUGGGACUGAGACACGGCCCAGACUCCUACGGGAGGCAGCAGUGGGGAACCUUAGACAAUGGGGGAAACCCUGAUCUAGCCAUGCCGCGUGGACGAUGAAGGCCUUAGGGUUGUAAAGUCCUUUCAGCUGGGAAGAUAAUGACGGUACCAGCAGAAGAAGCCCCGGCUAACUCCGUGCCAGCAGCCGCCGUAACAC
rnacentral:rRNA from 1 species